rnacentral:misc_RNA from 1 species
AAGUCGUAACAAGGUUUCCGUAGGUGAACCUGCGGAAGGAUCAUUAACACGUAUCCAAACGUUAAAACCCCCCCCGUGAACCUUCAUCCUGCUCUUGUAACCCGCGUAGUUCGCAAUCUCUGAUAAAUCAUAGCCCGGAAAGUUGUAGUGAUCCAGAGACCUCUGGCUACGUGCGAACAUUGGAACAGUUACAAGUGUCAUUGAUUGUGCAAGCAUAGCGCUUCUACGAUUCCUGUAGACCGUACACUCGGGCAGGAGCUCUGCCAACCCAUGCCCCCUAAUAACCCCACAGUUUAAUGUGAAGCUCAAUGUAAUACAUUGGUAAAAAACCGAACAACUGUUAACGGAUAUCUUGGUUCUC